GACGAACGCUGGCGGCGUGCUUAACACAUGCAAGUCGAACGGAAAGGCCCUGCUUUUGUGGGGUGCUCGAGUGGCGAACGGGUGAGUAACACGUGAGUAACCUGCCCUUGACUUUGGUAUAACUUCAGGAAACUGGGGCUAAUACCGGAUAGGAGCUCCUGCUGCAUGGUGGGGGUUGGAAAGUUUCGGCGGUUGGGGAUGGACUCGCGGCUUAUCAGCUUGUUGGUGGGGUAGUGGCUUACCAAGGCUUUGACGGGUAGCCGGCCUGAGAGGGUGACCGGCCACAUUGGGACUGAGAUACGGCCCAGACUCCUACGGGAGGCAGCAGUGGGGAAUAUUGCACAAUGGGCGGAAGCCUGAUGCAGCAACGCCGCGUGCGGGAUGACGGCCUUCGGGUUGUAAACCGCUUUCGCCUGUGACGAAGCGUGAGUGACGGUAAUGGGUAAAGAAGCACCGGCUAGCUACGUG
rnacentral:rRNA from 1 species